CCGGCUUCCCUCCGCUCUGCUCUGCUCCGCUCUGCCCGCCCCGCCGCGGGACACACGUCAUGGGGGAGCGGGCCCCGGCGGCCACGCGGGACGGGAGGGGACGGGCUGGGCGGCAUGGCCGCCGCGGGACACGCGGGUCGUGAGGGGAUGAGGAUGGGGACGAGCCCGGGCGCCAUUGAAGGGCGGCAGCGGCGGAAGCGGCCGGCGUGCGGAGCGGCGCCCCCUGGCGGGCUCGGCAUGGUGGUGGGGAUGGUCCCGGAGCGGCCGGGGCCGGACAGGGCUGGGGGAAUUUCCAUGAGGGAAUUUCCGUGUCCGAGCCUUCGGGAGCCAGCCUGGUGUCACACUCGCACCGCCUGAGCGGGGACCGACCCCCUUAGCAGCGACACAGUCACACGGUCAGAGCAGGUUUCCUUCAGCCUCGACCCCAAGCGCUUCUCCAGAAAUCGUACAACUGAUCUUUAGGAAAAGCAACAGGGAAAGAGUUAAAAUUGUGUUGUAUUCCGUAACGCAAGGGUCAAACUCAAAGCAUCCCUUCUCGCUUUUUCACAGAAAUCCCUUUCGAAAGUUUUCCUAAUGUUUCAGCCUUAGAUGUCGGCCGUUGUGCUUUUAAUGCAUUUUAGCACAUCCCUGGAAAUGUUUAAAAGACGCAGGGAAAUUAAUGACCCCUGUUUCCCUGACCACUGCCUCUCAAAUAACCACAGAACAAUUGCAGUUUGUGCUUGCAUGUGCUCUCCAGCGAGGGUCUGACAGUUGUGUUUGUUGUGAGAGUCACGUUGCUUCAGGAAUUUUUAUGCCAGCAUUUAGUAAAUGGCAAAAUAAAACAAGUUCACUUAAGAAUACAAAUGGACAUUGUUCACACACGUACACACACACACACACACAUGCGUUUUAAUUCUCUGUUCAGCAGACUUGGAAGGAAAAGAUUCUGAAAGGAAGUUUUCUUUGACGAGUGUUGGAUACUCAUUGCAAGUGAGAAACCAGUUAAAGUCUUAUUACUGCCUCUCAUUUCCUGUUAGCUUGAGAGAUAAAGACAGAGCUUCCAAUAUGGCCUUUAUGUAUCCCAGAUUUUUUAAUGCUAGCAUAAAUUAUAGUGUAAAUUCAAAGGAGCAAAGAAAUAUGGGCUCUGUAUUUUCCACACAAGUCUAUAGGAAUUACUUUGCUAAAGGUGCUGCAGCACUUCUUUCAAUCAGGCCUAUUGUCUGCAGAUGUAGUAUUAUGUUUCCAUUUGCGAAGUGGUUUUUUUUUUGUCUUUAUGUGCAGCUUCUGCUGCUGUCUGUAGGAAAUGUGGGAGCUGAUCAAGGACAGAAUGCCCACAUAAACUAAUAUACUAGAACAAUUUGUUACACACGACAGCCUACAGAUGGUGAAAACAUCAAUUUCCAGCAUUUACUCUUUUCUCUUGUCACGUGAAAAUGCAUGGAGUGAGGCAUGAGAAUUUAAAAAGAAAUAUGGAAAUUAAUUAAAAGAAUGCCAGUCAUGGUUCAUGCCUUGAUCCUGCUCAGAUUUAAGCCAAUGCAAAUUUUACUGUUAACUUCAAAGCGAUAGCUGUGACAUCAUUCAUUGAUCAUGAGAGUUACUUCAUAUAUGAUCAAAUAAUCACAUCAAGGCCUCAGUCCUUCAAGCUGCUAAAAAACUGUUGCACAUUGAAGCUUUUCUGUUUGCAGAAAUAUGUUCAAAGCGCCUUGCACAAAGUAUAGAAAAAUGUGCAGAGGGAUCAAUGCUGUUGGAAACCUCAGUGCCCAUAUGGGAAAGAAAAAAACCUAAACCACUCUUGAUGACUGUGGUGGAGAGGAGGCAUUGCCUGGUGUUGAAAUGUCAUCUAGAGCAUUCAAAUAACAUGCACAAUAGCCACUUAAAAGAUUUUCAUUUCCUUCUAAUGCCAACCAGUUGGAGCAGUUUUCUCAAGAGCUCUUAACAGCAGAACUUAAAAAAAUGGGAGAAUGGGGCUAGCCAUGAAUUACAGCCAGGAACAUGGCAAUUUGGGCAGCAGUGCUAAUAAAGCAGAAGGAUGGAUACAAAUUCUAAAAUAGGUCCUGCUGGACAGAGUUCCAAAUUAUAAGGUUUCCUUUUGUUUUGCCGCUGAUAAGAAGUCCUCAGAUCCCAAGGGUUGGAUUUUUGGUCGAUUCAGUUACAGUAGCCUGAACUCAGUGUCUCACCGUAUGGUUUUUUCCAUCAUGAAUUUUCUCCCUGGAUUGAGAACUAAAUUCUGUGUCAUGUUUCAAAUUAUUCCAGAGACUCAGACUGGUCACAAAUCUUAUUUCUUUUUGCAUCACUUGAAGAGAGCCGCAAAGUUUGGAGUUUGGAAGCUGGGCUGUUGCUGGCUAUUUCCCGUUUUCUGGAAGUUAGCAGACACGCACUGUUUCUCAUGCUUUUUGAAAAUGGAUCCUCCCUCUGGCUUAUUUGUGUAAAUGUUUAAUUGCCUUAAUGUUGUGCCCUGUACUGCCAAGUUUCCCUGGAAGAGUGCAAAGUUGCUGUAAUUACUGGCUGCAGGAAUAAAUCCUUCACCAUCAUAGAGGAAACUCUCCUAUUGCCAGCAACUGUAAGCAAUUAAAAAUUCGUUCAAGAGGGUGAUUGUUUACAGUCAGUAAUUAAAGGUGCUUAUCACUCUCUCAGAUUAAAGUGUAUUUGCAAACACUUAA